rnacentral:rRNA from 1 species
CACUAUGCUUAGCCCUAAACACUGAUAACCCCCUACAACCGUUAUCCGCCCGGGUACUACGAGCACCAGCUUAAAACCCAAAGGACUUGGCGGUGCUUUAGAUCCACCUAGAGGAGCCUGUUCUAGAACCGAUAAUCCCCGUUAAACCUCACCUCUCCUUGUUUUUCCCGCCUAUAUACCGCCGUCGUCAGCUUACCCUGUGAGGGACCUAUAGUAAGCACAAUUGGCAAAGCCCAAAACGCCAGGUCGAGGUGUAGCGUAUGGAGAGGGAAGAAAUGGGCUACAUUCAGUGUCUCACUGAAUACGAAAGGUGGGCUGAAACGCCCACCGGAAGGAGGAUUUAGCAGUAAGCAGAAAAUAGAGCGUUCCGCUGAAACUGGCCCUGAAGCGCGUACACACCGCCCGUCACUCUCCCCGAAAUCAAGACCUGCAGUACUUAAAACCUUAUUAUCUAGAAGGGGAGGCAAGUCGUAA